UCUCUUUCCUCCCCACCUCUUCCCUGUCUCUCAAGGUUUCGCCAUCUAUUACGUCGAGAGCGAGAAUAAUAACAAACGCUCUCUCGAGUCGAGUCGAUCCACGACGAAACGUGUUUGUAAAGCAUCGACGUUGGUGUAGAAUCCUGUGUGAUGUGAAAAAUACUUUUACCUCUCGUAACGGGCUAAUAUAACUUUAUUCAUAAACGUGGUUCCGUGUUCGAAUAAGCAGGACAUACAUUCCUAUUAUUCGAAUACCGGAUAAUAUACGAACGUUUUCAUCAUGAUCCGUAUGUUCCAUGUUACACCGCACAACGUUUCGUAGCGAUGUUUACAUAUAACGUACUUAAAUUACAAGGCAAAUGCAACGUAUUUAGAUGUAAUGAAUACUUUUCCUAUGCUCGGCCGGUUAAACGUUUAUCGAUUGAGUGUGAAAUGGAGACUCGGUAUCGCGAUAGCAGGACUGCAGCUGCUUAUAAAAAAUUUAUGCGACUUGGUAGUUAAAAAGAUACGAGACCCUGAAACAUUGAGAGAAACUGUCAGUUUUGUUCAUUUCUAGUUGAAUAAGUGAAGUUUAAUGCGAAAGAAGGUAAUUGUUCAAUUAUUAUCCGAAAAUACCGUUAUUCGGCCACUUUUGUCUAUCAAUUCCGAUACGGAAAUCUUUAUUUCCUUAUUGGAUUGGAUUAUUCUAACGUAACUUCACAAGUGAAAAUAUAUUAAGCGUGCGAAUAAGUUAUUUUCCCCUUUUUUUUCAAAAUUCAAGAUUUUAUUACGUACAAAUCGGGUACAAGAUUAUCGUAUCUCAAAAUACUUUCAUCCUCAUUCUCUAUAAUUGUCCUCUUCUAAUCUGAUGAGUAAAUUAUAAAUUCCUUCCUCGAAGAGCGAUAGCUGCUUGCUGAUUAAGCGAUACAUUUUCAGAUUGCUUUCUCGACAAUUGAUACUUCUUUUCGGCAACGCGUUGGCCGAGCAUCGUCGUGCGAAAUCACGCGUCUCGUUCCUCGUCCCGUAAACGGCCGUUUCUCUAGCUUUGGCUGCUCGUAUUAUAAAUUCAUUCCUCGGUUUUGAUAAUAUUCGGUUAUUCAGUUAUCGUCGUUCCAGACGGAAGCGGUUCACGAUGGAUAAUCGAGUUUCGGUUUUGCCACUGAAAUCGACGCGUCCAUAAAUCGACCCGUGAUCUCCCUCUUAUCGUCAUAUAAGACUCAUUUCUCAUCGCCAGUAACAAUUUUACGCAGAAAACUUUUCCUUUUACGCCGUUUUCUCUAUUCAUUUCGCUUACAAUUCGUGCAGUGUUCCAACUUCUGAGUCUUACCCAAUUGCCUCACUCGAAUAGAUAUCGCUCGUUCGAUCUUUCUACCGAUUCUUCUCGCGUCUUAAAAUUUCCAAAUUUAAAUGUUUGUUACUUUUUCCACGUUCUGCAUACACCGUUCUCUCUCAAUGGCGCGCAUAAAGCAUUUCGGAUGCUUGAACACCCGAUUUCCUAAGCUGGAACGCUUCUCUCGAAAUUGUCGCAUAGGAUUGGAAAUUCUUAGAGCAUUCGUAUUGACUCUUCUUAAGAACAAAGGAACACUUUUUUAAAGGGAAACGGAAAAUAAUUCAAAAUAAUUCGGUUCGGAAAAAGAAGAGGAAGGAAUAAUUUUCACCAUUUCGAAUAUUCGUAUCACACCUCUUUCAAUCUACUGUCGACAAAAUCCCUUCGAAAUCCCUCCAGCUUCAAAAAUCAGAAAUCGUUUAACGUAUCGUGAAUAUAUAUAUAUAUAUUCUCUCUUGCUGCGAUAGAAUUUUCCUUCUAAUCCACGCGUCCCCGCUCUUUUUAAAGAUUAACGAGAGGCGACGACCGGCGAUAAAUAACUUAGCCUGGAAAUUUGCGUUUCCAGCCUUCCUCGGCCGACGUACUCGCGAGGAAGGCGCGGAAGGGAGACGAGCGGAUUAAUUCGAUUUUCCAGCGGCGCAUCAAAGCGAACGAAUGGAAUAUCUCUCCGUUCCCGUGGGUGGGAAUAUAUUUUUAACCCCUCUAUUAAAACGUGGGUAAUCAGCGAAUGAAUUCCCCUCUCGAAUCCCGUCCCCCUCCUCAUCGAUCCAAUCCUUGUUUUCGUUGCGCCUAAACGAUCACCGGGGAGGGGGAUUCUCUGAGCCCCCCUCUCCAGAUGCAUUUAAGUUAAUCGAUGAUCUAAAAUCUCGUCUUUGUUCCUCGUCCAGCUUCGAAUUAACGAGGCGAUAAUAAGAUAGUAUAUAUUAGGCUGUCCCAUAAGCGUCUUCCUUUUCUUUUUACACGAAAUGAAUCGCCUUCUUCCAUUCCCUCGGGAAGCCUCGUUAUUCCAAAAUUGUUGGGGUUUAUUUGCAAAAUAUUGCUCGAGGCGCAAUUUUUAUUUGGAUCGGUUUGGAAUCGUUUAUCGUGGAGAGAAUUUUUUUUAAUAACAGGAACAAGAUGGAGCGAGAUCUGGGGAGUCACAGAAGAUGCAGGAUCGAACUGUAACCCCUUUUCUCUUACGAUGCUCGUAUAUUUUAUAUAUAAUUUUGCACUGCUCGCCAAUUUCUUGACCGUUCUUCUAUGUCUUUCGGUUUAUCAAGCAACAUUUUCGAAAAUUGAUGGUUUCCACAUUGAGAAAGGAGGUCAUAGCAUUGAAGUCCAACGCGACAGUUGAAGAUCUAUUUAUUGUCCUUGAAUCAAGGGCACAUUUUUCGAUGCGACUCGAUCUUGACUCGAAGAGAGUAUUUUAAAAGGGCUAAUUAAGUCGCAUGUUCGCAUAAAAAUGAGACUAGUUGAAGUCAGUUCCUAGCGGAAGAAACUUAUGGAACACCUUAAUCUAGUAAUUCUCGUUCGAAUAUAACAAUUCGCAUCGACUUGAAUCCGAGUGGUUUCGAGAGAGGGGAGGGGAGGACUCGUCUUCGCCUUGAAUCUUGAAUACCCGCGUUCGCUGCUCGAUUUCGGAGGAUAUUUGAACCGAUGUUUAAACGGAUGGGGAUGGAAAUAAUAAAUCUUCGGUUCGCGAUCGACUCGAAUUUCAAAUAUAACGAGUAUGAAAGUAUACAUCGAAGAUAAAGUUUAUAUGUAAAAAAUAUAUUGAAAACGACAGUAAACGAAAAUCUAUGGAUUUUAAAUAAAUAAUUUACGAAAAAUUGCUCUUCAACGAUGAUUUUUCGCCACCACUUGGAUUGAUAUGGCGAUUUAUUUAUUUAUGUUUUUAUUUUUUUAGAAUAUCGCUUCUUAAAUAGGUAUCUAAACUCUUUAUAAUCUUAUGAGAAUAAUAUAUUGUUAAAUGGGUAGAUUUUUUCCGAGUCGUGGGAAUAGAAAUAUUAUUUUCAAAGUUUUUGAGUUUUGUAAGAACGAAAUUAGUUGAUGAAAUUGGUGAAGUUGAGUUCGAUUUUUCGUUAUUGAAAUUACAUUUAUUCACAAAGAAAUUAACGGUAGAGAAAACAAUGACGGACACUUGGAGAUGAAAUAAGAAGGCGAAAAGUAAGAAUAAUAGAUGGUGAAUGCAUAAUAGAAGAUGUCGCAGAAGCAGAUUUUUAUAUCUUCGAAUAUAAAUUAGAUUUUCGUUAAACUAUUUCUUACUGAUGAACUUGUCAA